rnacentral:rRNA from 1 species
GACGAACGCUGGCGGCGUGGAUUAGGCAUGCAAGUCGAACGGUAUCAUCCUUUCGGGGGUGAGAGAGUGGCGAACUGGUGAGUAACACGUAGGUUAUCUACCCUCAAGACGGGGACAACCCAGGGAAACUUGGGCUAAUACCGGAUGUGAGCAACUUUUAGUUGUUUGAAAGGUGGCGUAAGCUGUCGCUUGGGGAUGAGCCUGCGUCCUAUUAGUUAGUUGGUGAGGUAACGGCUCACCUAGGCAAUGAUAGGUAGGCGGCCUUAACGGGUGGUCGCCCACACUGGGAUUGAGAUACGGCCCAGACUCCUACGGGAGGCAGCAGUCGAGAAUAGUCUACAAUGGUCGGAAGACUGAUAGUGCGACGCCGCGUGAACGAUGAAUCCCUUCGGGGUGUAAAGUUCUUUUAUAUGUGAGCAGUGCUUCUUAUAUUAACAGUAUGGGGAGAGAGAUAUUAGCAUACGAAUAAGCAACGGCUAACUCCGUGCCCAGCAGCCCGCGGUAAGCUCG